UGGCUUAGGACGAACGCGUGGCGGCGUCGCCUAACACAUGCAAGUCGAGCGAGGAGAUCCUUCGGGAUGAUCCUAGCGGCGGACGGGUGAGUAACACGUGGGCAACCUGCCUCAUAGAGAGGAAUAGUCUUCCGAAAGGGAGAUUAAUACCUCAUAACAUUGCAGUUUCGCAUGGAACAGCAAUUAAAGGAGUAAUCCGCUAUGAGAUGGGCCCGCGGCGCAUUAGCUAGUUGGUGAGGUAACGGCUCACCAAGGCGACGAUGCGUAGCCGACCUGAGAGGGUGAUCGGCCACAUUGGGACUGAGACACGGCCCAGACUCCUACGGGAGGCAGCAGUGGGGAAUAUUGCACAAUGGGGGAAACCCUGAUGCCAGCAACGCCGCGUGAGCGAUGACGGCCUUCGGGUUGUAAAGCUCUGUCUUCAGGGACGAUAAUGACGGUACCUGAGGAGGAAGCCACGGCUAACUACGUGCCAGCCGCCGC
rnacentral:rRNA from 1 species